rnacentral:rRNA from 1 species
ACGAACGCUGGCGGCACGCUUAACACAUGCAAGUCGAACGAGAGAAGAGAAGCUUGCUUUUCUGAUCUAGUGGCGGACGGGUGAGUAACACGUGAGCAAUCUGCCUUUCAGAGGGGGAUACCGAUUGGAAACGAUCGUUAAUACCGCAUAAUAUAAUUGAACCGCAUGAUUUGAUUAUCAAAGAUUUAUCGCUGAAAGAUGAGCUCGCGUCUGAUUAGCUAGUUGGUAAGGUAACGGCUUACCAAGGCGACGAUCAGUAGCCGGACUGAGAGGUUGAUCGGCCACAUUGGGACUGAGACACGGCCCAGACUCCUACGGGAGGCAGCAGUGGGGAAUAUUGCACAAUGGAGGAAACUCUGAUGCAGCGAUGCCGCGUGAGGGAAGAAGGUUUUAGGAUUGUAAACCUCUGUCUUCAGGGACGAAAAAAGACGGUACCUGAGGAGGAAGCUCCGGCUAACUACGUGCCAGCAGCCGCGGUAAUACGUAGGGAGCGAGCGUUGUCCGGAAUUACUGGGUGUAAAGGGAGCGUAGGCGGGAUCGCAAGUCAGAUGUGAAAACUAUGGGCUUAACCCAUAAACUGCAUUUGAAACUGUGGUUCUUGAGUGAAGUAGAGGUAAGCGGAAUUCCUAGUGUAGCGGUGAAAUGCGUAGAUAUUAGGAGGAACAUCAGUGGCGAAGGCGGCUUACUGGGCUUUAACUGACGCUGAGGCUCGAAAGCGUGGGGAGCAAACAGGAUUAGAUACCCUGGUAGUCCACGCCGUAAACGAUGAUUACUAGGUGUGGGGGGACUGACCCCUUCCGUGCCGCAGCAAACGCAAUAAGUAAUCCACCUGGGGAGUACGACCGCAAGGUUGAAACUCAAAGGAAUUGACGGGGGCCCGCACAAGCAGUGGAGUAUGUGGAUUAAUUCGAAGCAACGCGAAGAACCUUACCAGGUCUUGACAUCGAUCUAAAGGCUCCAGAGAUGGAGAGAUAGCUAUAGAGAAGACAGGUGGUGCAUGGUUGUCGUCAGCUCGUGUCGUGAGAUGUUGGGUUAAGUCCCGCAACGAGCGCAACCCUUACUGUUAGUUGCUACGCAAGAGCACUCUAGCAGGACUGCCGUUGACAAAACGGAGGAAGGUGGGGAUGACGUCAAAUCAUCAUGCCCCUUAUGACCUGGGCCUCACACGUACUACAAUGGCUGUAAACAGAGGGAUGCAAAGCCGCGAGGUGGAGCGAACCCCUAAAAGCAGUCUUAGUUCGGAUUGUAGGCUGCAACCCGCCUACAUGAAGUCGGAAUUGCUAGUAAUCGCAGAUCAGCAUGCUGCGGUGAAUACGUUCCCGGGCCUUGUACACACCGCCCGUCACGCCAUGGGAGUCGGUAACACCCGAAGCCUGUAGUCUAACCGCAAGGAGGACGCAGUCGAAGGUGGGAUUGAUGACUGGGGUG